AGUAAUGUAUGGGGAUCUGCCCGGUAGAGGGGGAUAACUACUGGAAACGGUGGCUAAUACCGCAUAAUGUCUACGGACCAAAGCAGGGGCUCUUCGGACCUUGCACUAUCGGAUGAACCCAUAUGGGAUUAGCUAGUAGGUGGGGUAAAGGCUCACCUAGGCGACGAUCUCUAGCUGGUCUGAGAGGAUGAUCAGCCACACUGGGACUGAGACACGGCCCAG
rnacentral:rRNA from 1 species